rnacentral:lncRNA from 1 species
AAAGGAUUCUAUGAAGUAGCCUCAUCAAUUCCGUAUCCCUUCUCGCCCAUAAUCGACCCAAAACUGAUCCAAUUGAUUAGGUCAUGUAUUAACAAAGUUUGACAAAGGAAGAUGAUAAUCCUAUUUUGUUGGCGACUACGGCAUGAAGGAACAUCGGUGGUGCUACCACCAUUUAUGGUAUCAGAAUCAAGCUUCCAAUUUCAAAAGAUGGUACUGAAGGUGUCUUGAUAAUUUCUCCGGACACAUGUCUUUGAAGGGGUUAGGCUCGAUCUUGAUACCAUCAAUGGUGGCGGAGCCUCCCUUGGGUUCCAAGGUCUUCAAUUCCUUAGGCUGCUAAUCCAAAUUAUUAAUCUAGGUAUUUCCUUUUUACGCUUUUUUUUUUAUUAUUUUUUUCUAAUUUUCAUUCCGUCAAGAAGGUCCACAUUGUAAUUAUCUAAAAAGAAUUAAGAGUUAACUUUACCUAUCAAUCUUGAAGUUCUGGUCAUAAAAGUACUUUUUAUGACACUUUUCCAAGUUAAGGCUUAUAUGCACCCAAUCAAUUUGGAAGAACGUGAUUUAAAAGGACAGUCUACGAUUGUUACUGAAAAUUAUGUUAAUGGUCUUGAAUCUGUGGGGCUGGUAAUCUAUUCAUAUGUGGAAGAGAAAUUAUUUUAAGGCUCCUUUUGAUUGUAAAGAUGUAAUUAAAUUGAAUUGAAAACGAAUUUCAAGGAAUUGAAUUUUCUAGAAAUUGUUUUUCUGAGAAUUGUAAAUUAUUUUGUUUGAUUGUGAUAAUUUUCCAUGUG